GCAUCAGUAGUUCAGGGGUAGAAUUCGAGCUUCCCAUUCACAGGAAGUUGCUCGAGGUCCGAGUUCGAGUCUCGGCUGAUGCA